GACGAACGCUGGCGGCGUGCCUAAUACAUGCAAGUCGAGCGGAUCUUCAUUAGCUUGCUUUUGAAGAUCAGCGGCGGACGGGUGAGUAACACGUAGGCAACCUGCCUGUAAGACUGGAAUAACUUCGGGAAACCGGAGCUAAUACCGGAUAAUCCUUUUCCUCUCAUGAGGAAAAGCUGAAAGACGGUUUCGGCUGUCACUUACAGAUGGGCCCGCGGCGCAUUAGCUAGUUGGUGAGGUAACGGCUCACCAAGGCGACGAUGCGUAGCCGACCUGAGAGGGUGAUCGGCCACACUGGGACUGAGACACGGCCCAGACUCCUACGGGAGGCAGCAGUAGGGAAUCUUCCGCAAUGGACGAAAGUCUGACGGAGCAACGCCGCGUGAGCGAUGAAGGCCUUCAGGUCGUAAAGCUCUGUUGUCAGGGAAGAACAAGUACCGGAGUAACUGCCGGUACCUUGACGGUACCUGACCAGAAAGCCACGGCUAACUACGUGCCAGCCGCCGCCGUAAAAC
rnacentral:rRNA from 1 species